UACAGAGGUCCCGAGCGUUGUUCGGAUUCAUUGGGCGUAAAGGGUGCGUAGGCGGCGGGGCAAGUCUGAUGUGAAAUCCCGGGGCUCAACCCCGGAACUGCAUUGGAUACUGCCUUGCUUGAGUACUGGAGAGGGAACUGGAAUUUACGGUGUAGCAGUGAAAUGCGUAGAGAUCGUAAGGAAGGCCAGUGGCGAAGGCGGCUUCCUGGCCUGUUCUUGACGCUGAGGCGCGAAAGCUAGGGGAGCAAACGGG
rnacentral:rRNA from 1 species